rnacentral:rRNA from 1 species
CGGUCCAGACUCCUACGGGAGGCAGCAGUAGGGAAUCUUCGGCAAUGGACGCAAGUCUGACCGAGCAACGCCGCGUGAGUGAAGAAGGUUUUCGGAUCGUAAAACUCUGUUGUAAGAGAAGAACGUUGAUGAGAGUGGAAAGUUCAUCAAGUGACGGUAUCUUACCAGAAAGCCACGGCUAACUACAGUGCCAGCAGCCGCGGUAA